CUGAGGGGUUAAAAAGAUGCCCCCAGAAGAAAAGGAGGGGGAAAGUGAUCAGCUCAGCCGGAAGCUGACCUGGAUAUAGAGGCAGCAUGCAGUGAGAAUGACACGUAGACUUGAGAGAUAGGGUCUGCAGCUGGCUAGAGACAACAAAGGACACCAAGGCUAAGUCAUAUCUACCUAGGGGUUUGAGGAGAAUACCAAGCAGAGAUACCCUGCAAUGGAUAGUAGCACAAGAGGAAUUGUGAUUUCCUGAGUCACAAUUUUUUCCUGGAACUCUUUGUCAGGCAACACAGAACAGAAUUAUCCUGUGAAAAAUACAGGAGUCUAUUAUCCACUAAGAAGUGGAAUACAAAACAACAAGGAUGUGAAGAAUCAAGGCUCCUGUAGAAUUAUAGACUUGGGCUGACAACAAAGUAGA